rnacentral:rRNA from 1 species
AUUGAACGCUGGCGGAAUGCUUUACACAUGCAAGUCGAACGGCAGCACGGACUUCGGUCUGGUGGCGAGUGGCGAACGGGUGAGUAAUACAUCGGAACGUGCCCAAUCGUGGGGGAUAACGUAGCGAAAGCUACGCUAAUACCGCAUACGAUCUAAGGAUGAAAGCGGGGGAUCGCAAGACCUCGCGCGAUUGGAGCGGCCGAUGGCAGAUUAGGUAGUUGGUAGGGUAAAGGCCUACCAAGCCGACGAUCUGUAGCUGGUCUGAGAGGAUGAUCAGCCACACUGGGACUGAGACACGGCCCAGACUCCUACGGGAGGCAGCAGUGGGGAAUUUUGGACAAUGGACGCAAGUCUGAUCCAGCCAUUCCGCGUGCAGGAUGAAGGCCCUCGGGUUGUAAACUGCUUUUGUACAGAACGAAAAGGCCCUGGUUAAUACCUAGGGCUCAUGACGGUACUGUAAGAAUAAGCACCGGCUAACUACGUGCCAGCCGCCGCUGUAAAAC